rnacentral:rRNA from 1 species
GACGAACGCUGGCGGCGUGCUUAACACAUGCAAGUCGAACGAUGAUGCCAGCUUGCUGGUGGAUUAGUGGCGAACGGGUGAGUAACACGUGAGCAACCUGCCCCUGACUUCGGGAUAACCGCGGGAAACCGUGGCUAAUACCGGAUAUGACGCGCUAUCGCAUGGUGGUGUGUGGAAAGAUUUAUCGGUUGGGGAUGGGCUCGCGGCCUAUCAGCUUGUUGGUGGGGUGAUGGCCUACCAAGGCGACGACGGGUAGCCGGCCUGAGAGGGUGACCGGCCACACUGGGACGGAGACACGGCCCAGACUCCUACGGGAGGCAGCAGUGGGGAAGAUUGCACAAUGGGCGCAAGCCUGAUGCAGCGACGCCGCGUGAGGGAUGACGGCCUUCGGGUUGUAAACCUCUUUCAGUAGGGAAGAAGGCCUUCGGGUUGACGGUACCUGCAGAAGAAGCGCCGGCUAACUACGUG